GACGAACGCUGGCGGCGUGCUUAACACAUGCAAGUCGAACGGAAAGGCCCUGCUUUUGUGGGGUGCUCGAGUGGCGAACGGGUGAGUAACACGUGAGUAACCUGCCCUUGACUUUGGGAUAACUUCAGGAAACUGGGGCUAAUACCGGAUAGGAGCUCCUGCUGCAUGGUGGGGGUUGGAAAGUUUCGGCGGUUGGGGAUGGACUCGCGGCUUAUCAGCUUGUUGGUGGGGUAGUGGCUUACCAAGGCUUUGACGGGUAGCCGGCCUGAGAGGGUGACCGGCCACAUUGGGACUGAGAUACGGCCCAGACUCCUACGGGAGGCAGCAGUGGGGAAUAAUGCACAAUGGGCGGAAGCCUGAUGCAGCAACGCCGCGUGCGGGAUGACGGCCUUCGGGUUGUAAACCGCUUUCGCCUGUGACGAAGCGUGAGUGACGGUAAUGGGUAAAGAAGCACCGGCUAACUACGUA
rnacentral:rRNA from 1 species